CCUACGGGAGGCAGCAGUGGGGAAUUUUGGACAAUGGGCGAAAGCCUGAUCCAGCAAUGCCGCGUGAGUGAAGAAGGCCUUCGGGUUGUAAAGCUCUUUUGUCAGGGAAGAAACGGUGAGGGCUAAUAUCCCUUGCUAAUGACGGUACCUGAAGAAUAAGCACCGGCUAACUACGUGCCAGCAGCCGCGGUAAUACGUAGGGUGCAAGCGUUAAUCGGAAUUACUGGGCGUAAAGCGUGCGCAGGCGGUUUUGUAAGUCUGUCGUGAAAUCCCCGGGCUCAACCUGGGAAUUGCGAUGGAGACUGCAAGGCUAGAAUCUGGCAGAGGGGGGUAGAAUUCCACGUGUAGCAGUGAAAUGCGUAGAGAUGUGGAGGAACACCGAUGGCGAAGGCAGCCCCCUGGGUCAAGAUUGACGCUCAUGCACGAAAGCGUGGGGAGCAAACAGGAUUAGAUACCCUGGUAGUCCACGCCCUAAACGAUGUCUACUAGUUGUCGGGUUUUAAUUAACUUGGUAACGCAGCUAACGCGUGAAGUAGACCGCCUGGGGAGUACGGUCGCAAGNUUAAAACCUUNAAUAGAGUUAGAGNGNGNGAGNGCGAGAGACGACGAGGAGAGG
rnacentral:rRNA from 1 species